rnacentral:rRNA from 1 species
GCAAUGCCGCGUGCAGGAUGAAGGCCUUCGGGUUGUAAACUGCUUUUGUACGGAACGAAACGGCGAGCUCUAAUAAAGUUUGCUAAUGACGGUACCGUAAGAAUAAGCACCGGCUAACUACGUGCCAGCAGCCGCGGUAAUACGUAGGGUGCGAGCGUUAAUCGGAAUUACUGGGCGUAAAGCGUGCGCAGGCGGUUAUAUAAGACAGAUGUGAAAUCCCCGGGCUCAACCUGGGACCUGCAUUUGUGACUGUAUAGCUAGAGUACGGUAGAGGGGGAUGGAAUUCCGCGUGUAGCAGUGAAAUGCGUAGAUAUGCGGAGGAACACCGAUGGCGAAGGCAAUCCCCUGGACCUGUACUGACGCUCAUGCACGAAAGCGUGGGGAGCAAACAGGAUUAGAUACCCUGGUAGUCCACGCCCUAAACGAUGUCAACUGGUUGUUGGGUCUUCACUGACUCAGUAACGAAGCUAACG